rnacentral:lncRNA from 1 species
ACCUCUAGCCAGGGACGCGCGCUCGGUCCCCCGCCGUGCGCCCCCGGUCCCGCGCCCAGGCUCCCGCCCCUGGCCUCCUUACCAGCCACUUGUCGCCCAGCUGCGAACUGGAGCGGGAGGCGGCGGCCGGAGGGCCCAGGACAGCCCCGGGAGGGCGGCGAGGCGGAGCAGGAGCGCCCCGGCUCCGGCCACAUUCUCAGAGUCAGGAAAAGGGGCGAGAGGCCACAUGUCUCCCUCUCGCCCAACUGAAAACGAAACGGCGCUCCAGCAGAUUGGGUGGAAAGAGCUGGGUCUCUUUUCUCUGUUUUUCACGCUAGAAAGGGCUUGUAAACAUUGUUCCUUUUAAAAUGACCUACCCCAGGCAUUUGUUUGGGCACACUUCUGUCCUGGGGUCAUCGUUCCUAGGUGGCUUCGGACCUGGGACUUUUCCUGUAUCUGCACAUUGUCGUUUUAUACACAAUUGCCAAGGUGGGACUGCUUUCAACUUUACUGUGCUUGAAGCUGCAAAGCGGAUCCUGUUACAGUGCAAAGAAGAAAUGGCAAACGGAUAACAGCUACUGUGCCUAGAAGAUGGUUCUGCCCUGAUGUUUCCUGGAAUAAUGCUGAGGACUGCCUUUCGGGUAGCCGCCCUAUUCAGUUCACUUCAUCUCGGAAAUACCUGACCCCUGCCUUGGAUCCAGCGGCCCUCCUGAGAGCUGAGGAAGGAGGAAAUCCUAUGUGUCUGCUCCCGGAGCUGCCACAACCCAUCUUCCCACAACUCGGAACUUGGAAAAAGGAACCCAGGACACGACUUUGCUUUUCUUUUGGACCUAGUUGGUGAUUAUACUCUGUCUCCCAUGGAGACCACGUCUUGCAUCCUUCCUUCUAUAUGGGAUUUAGGAUAGAAAUUAAAAAGAAAACAUAUUAUUUUGAGUCUUGAUUUGGAGAAAGGUAGUAUUCAGGAGGAAGUAGGCUAUGAUACACAUAGAAAAUUUGAGGACAGUGUUACUUAACAAGGACAUUUCUGUCUCUGCAGAAGUCACAGCUUGGAGGAAACCAGUUUGCACUAUUUGAUGAGGAAUUUGGCCACCAAACCACUGAUACUUUCCCAAAGGUUUGGCAGAAAUUGUUUUUUGAGUGGCUCACCAGAGUACCCAGAAGAAUCAGUAUGGAAUUAGAGGACAGUGGCCUACCCUAAAUAAAGACAUGAGUGAUGUAUAAAGUCUAGUGUCAAUUUAUUCAGAAAAUAUCAAAAUUAUUCUGGGAGCUAUGGGUCAAAGUUGAUAGGCACAAACAAACAAAAACGAAAGGUAUUUUAAAUUCACAGCUUGGAUAAGUAAAAGGGAGAUGUUGUCAUUUCUCUUCUUCAAUCCAACUUUAGAUUUUCAAGCCGGAAAAAGGGUAAUUAGAAGUUAGAAAUUGUUAUUGCCAGAAAAUAGCUCUAAACCCUGAAAAAAAAAAAAAAAAAAAAAAAAACUGACCCUCCUCUUGGGGAGUGAUAAACCUCAAUUACUGUUGAUAGUAAAACUGAUAUCAACUCUUCGAAACCAGUGAAAGGUGAAUGGAAACCUUACCCUAGGUUAAGGUUUAAAAAAUGUUCAUAAUAUAUAUUUGAAAGUUCCAUUAUUUAAAAUAUUCAUUAGACAUGCUUUGUAAUGUUAAGUUACUUCAAAAAAUCUUACACAAGGGAAGGGAAGUAUGUAUUAUUCCUUCAUUUAAGAGAAAGAUAAUGUGUGAAUAUUAGUUAAUAUUUAUCGUACAUUUACUACCUGUGUCGAAGCGUAGUGUUACACACUUAAUUUCAAUUAUUUAAUUUGAUUCUAACAAUGAAUCCCCUGAGAUGGAUAAUAUCCUCUUCAUUUUACAGAUGAGACAAUUGAGACUUAAAGGUUAAACAAAUGAUUUCCUAAGCUCAUUCAGCUAAUAAACGGUAGGGGACUGCUUGACACCAGUCCAGUUGACCCUCAAAUCCAUGAUUUCUGCCACCAUAUUCACAGAAACAAGACAAGAGCUGAAAAUAUAGCCUGACUCUUGAAACAGUCAAAGAAUUGUGUAUGUUUAUGAAAGUUCUGAUUAAUAAGAUAUUCUGAGGACAAAAGACAAGGCAUGGGUAGAGGGGCAAUGUGUAGAUUAGAAUGUAUCACAAUGCCCACUAAAUAGUAAAACCAUAGAAAAUGAAAUUUAAUCCUUACUGUGUAGAAUAUUUAGAGUAGAUUGUUUUUUCCUCGGUGUCAAUUACUAUUACAACUAUCAAAGAAUGAAAUUAAACAAGAAACGGUUCCUUUGGUUUUUUUUUUUAAAGGUGGGAGUUAUAAAAACAGUAUUUGCCAUCUGGUUUUAGUUAUGGCUGUGGAAAUUCUAUGGGUACAAUUUGUUGUCAUUGUUGUUACCACUACCAAUACAGAGAUGCUAAUUGUAACAUCAGUUUCUAAAUCAGAUAGUGAAUAAUUACAUUUUCAAUGUUUUCUUAACAUAGAUACAAGUUAACAGGAUAUGCUUCUGGCCUGUUUCUGGAUUCUAAGGGUAGAACCAGCAUAAAACUAGUCAGUCCAAGUAUUUCUAAAGAUCCACAGACACAGUUCUCCUGGAUUUGGGAAGCCUAGAGAUAUUAGCACAAUAAUUAAGGCCCAAGUGAGUAUAAAAUUUUAUCUGAAAUUGAAGAGAUAUUGAUUAGAUAAUCCACAGAGACUACUUUUUAGUGAUUAUCUUCCACCAGGGUAAAAGCAACAGCAGCCUGAAAAUGCAAAAGACCAUACAUUUUAAUGGUAAGUCCUCCCCAGGAAGGAUUAAUAAAUCUCAGGAGGAAGAUUUAUUAUCUGUAAAUCCAGGAGGAAGAAAUCAAGAUGAAAACUAUCAUAUUUAUAAAUUUGAUUGUUGCAAUUUUAUAGUUUGACAUAGUGCAAUUGCUUUAGAUUUGAAGGGGAACUUACUUUAGAGUAAGUCACUCAAUCUCUUUUUUGGAAAGGCAAAUGCCACACCUGAUCCUCAUCACUCCCUUCUCCUUUGUCCAUAGCCUGGCUUUAUUCUGCCAUUAACACACACACACACACACACACACACACACACACAAAUUGGGAAGAGGAUUUCUCAUUUUACAGAAAGUAUGCUGGGCUACACAGGAUAUUCUAUCAGGUUUCUUCCAGCUAUAAAAUUCUGAGACUAAAUAUCAAAUUAAAGAAAGUACUAAUUGUCAGCGAUGGGGGAUGUACUGCUAUUUGCUUCUAGUGGUACUCACUGCUCAUUUCCUAUAUUCACUGGUAUAAAAAAAUUUCAAACACCCUCAAAAAAGCCUAUACUGGUGGUACCAGGAAAACGCUGAAAAUCAUUACUUUCUGUGUGGUGUCCAGCUCUUUUGGUUACAUCAUCACUUCGACCAUUCACUUUUAAAGAAAAACUUUUGUGGAACAAAAAUAUAAAGAUUUAUUUUUUUUCUUGGUGGCUUAGCACAGUGGCCUAAUGUGGCUGACCAUGUGCACCUGUUGUGUGAGUCACUUAGACGUGCUUUGUUUCUUGGUCACAGUUGAUCCCUCAACUCAAGCAUCUCACCCUCAAAAUGUUUGUUUGGGACCCAAGAGGCAAACCUUGAGAUGGGUUAUUUCUUUCACCUUGGAUUGGCUCAUCUGCUGGGAGUGGAGCCAAGCUGACAUUUCCUUUCCUUUUUGUCUGCCUAUCACUACGUAGAGGCAGCACAUAAGAGAGGGAAAGCCAUGCGCGUGGAGUCCAGCACAUCACCCAGAAGGCAGAUGUUCUAUCUCCAUUUUACUCAUUAAAACAAACAAAACCACACCUGGAUUGCCUGGUACUUAAAUAAAAUGCACUAUGAUGAUUGAAGAAAAAUAUCUUAUAUUUAAGGAAUAGUUUUAAUAGCUUACAUCUGUAUUUCUAUUAGCUUCCGUUUCUAUUUUUAAUAUUUGUAUAAUAUUAAAAGUAAUUUUAAAAAUGAACUAAUCUUUUUACAUCUCUUAUGAGAAUUUAAUGGAGAUAUGAUGUUUGAAGAUCAAAGAUACGUGGUAUUUGAAAUCAGAAAAUGUGUUUGCUUUUCUACACAGAUUACAAAUAUCAUGCAUUAUUUCACAAACUCUUCUCAAAGUGUUGAUUUUAAAAUUAGUAAAAGGAGGGUAUAUUCAUAUCACAUCCUGGCAUUUUUAUAGGCAAGAUUGAGCAGCUAUAACCUCUAAAGUGCUUUGAUCCCUAUAAGCCUCAAGAAGAGAAUGGUGCAAUUUGAAUUAAUAACUACCCAUUAUAGAGCAUUUGUAUCACAGUAUUUUCCAAAUACUAUCUUAUUUAACCCUACAGCAAUCCUAUGAUAUGGGGAUUAUGUACACAUUACAGAUGAGAACUUGAGGCUCGGAGAAAGUAAAUAACUUACACAAGAUCACAAAGCAAGUGACUGCCAGAGCCAGGAUCAGAACCCAGUCAGGCUUCAUUAGGAGCUCUGCUGAACUCUGUCUAGAGAAUUCUCACCACCUGCUGCAAAGGCUAAAAGAAAGGGUCAUAUUCCACAUGUAGAUUUUGAGAAAUAUUUGUUAUUUUUCUUAUGAUAAAGGUUAUGCAUACACACUCACACACACACACACACACACACAACUAGAAAUUACAGAAAAGAAAAAAGAUUAGCCAGAAUGUCACCACCUAAAGACAGAUAAUAUUUUGGUGUUUUCAAAUAUUCUUUUAUCUAUACUUUUUUGAAUUAUUUUAUUUUAAAAAUAACUUUUACUGGUUGCCUGAUUAUGAAGUAAUAAAUAUUCACCAUAAAUAUUUUGAAAAAUAUAAAACUGUCUAUAAAAGAAAUUUGAAAUGAUUGCUAAUCUCAAAAUAUAGAUACCUGUCAGUACUUUGGCAUUUUAUCCUCCUUGUGGCUGAGGUCACAUAUCUUGAGACUGAAGCACAAAAUUUCUAUACCAUACAGUUUAUAGUUUAGGCCACAACAUCAUUUUUAAAAUUGUUUCUUUGGUUUUUACUUGAUUUGCUGAUGUUUUAUUUUUUAGAAAAUUGCAGAUGUGAUUUUUAGGCAGCUGAUUGGAAUGUUCUGGUUGCUCUGAAUAGGACUAGCUACUUUGUUUUUUACUGAAGGACAAAUAUUAUUCCUACACACAUAAAAAACCUCAAAGAAUGAGUAAUGAUACUGUUUAAAUCUGCCCUUAUAACUCCAAAGAAUGACUUCAAAUUUUCUUUCUUCCAAAGCAACUUUUAAAAGCCUUUCCACUGCACAGUGAAAGAAAACCACAAACUCCUUGUUUAAUAAGUGGGAUCACGUGCUUUUAACACGAGGAAAAGGUCAAUCUGAAGCAACUGAUAUGGAACUGCCAGAGUAGGUACGUAAAUUUAGGAGUUACAUCAAUUUGGGAGGGCUGCAGAAAUGUGGAUCAGAUUUUAAUCACACUGAGGAAGUUUCUUUGAGCAAAAGACGUGAUGGUUGUUCUCUAGAACCUUUCUGUCCUGUCCGUUGCUUUGCCAAGGGAGCUAGAAAAGAAAUAAACAUUUAAGAACUUAAAAGGCUUCUGGAUAAAACUCAGCUUGGUGCAACACAUUUUAGCUAUCACAGCUUUACUCCCAAGCUUCCACCUUUCCUAGGAGCGCAGUAAAAACCUGAGCCAAAGAAACCAAACAAUAGAACUGAAAUUCUUUAAACUUGAGUUCUUGAGGUUAUAGUCUUUGUGCACUCCAUAAAGUCAAAGCCCUAAAAAGAUUUUUAGAAAACAAAACACUUGUAUCUGUAUCUAUUUCCCCAAACCUCUCUACAUUUACUUACCUUUUGCAGACUCAUGCUUUCUCUUUUCCUUGUGAUUGCAUUUGGAUAGAAUGAAGACCUCUCCUACAGUUCUCAACUUAAAUUCUUUCUUUUAUUUCUUAGCUACGAAAGAAAAUUCAAAAAAUUCAAUGCUCUACUUUGUAACUCCCUGGACAUAGUGAGUCCAUUAUGUACAUCAUGAGGAGGGAGUGGAGAAAGUGGAAUUCUUAUGUAAAUUCAUACAGCUUUGGAAAAUGGUUUAGCAGUACCUACUAAAGCUGAGCAUAUGCAAAACCAGUGACCCAGGAAUGUCAUGGGUACAUAACCUACAAAAAUGUAGACAGAUGCGCUAAAAGACAUGUACAACAUGUUCACUGCAGCCCAGUUCAUCAUCACCCCAAAGUGGAAACAUCUCAAGCGUCCACCAGCUGGAGGCUGCACAAUAAAACUGUGGUACUUUCGUCGGUAGAAACAUGCCACAGCUUGAACACACGCUGAAAACAUAACGUCAAGUGAAAGAAGCCAGGUCCCAAAAAAAGACAUACUGUAUGAUUGUAUUUACAUUAAGUCCCAAAACAGGUAAACUGAAUUCAUGCAAUGGAAAGUCAUGAGAGUAGCUACUGCAUCUGGGGAGGCAGGUGGUGGAGUGCCAGGGAAGGAGCACCAGGAUGGCUCAUGGUGCUAUUUUUAUGACUUGAUGUAGGGGAUAGGUAAUAGGUAGGUCCACUUUGGAAAAGUUCAUCUAGCUGUGUAUUUGUGACUUGCAGUCUUUUCUGCAUGUGUCAAUUCCAGUAAAAAGAUUACUUGAAAAUCAAGUAUAAUAUUAUUGUAUUUACAAAGCCCUUUCUACGUAGCCAGAAACAGGGUUGGUUUCCCAGGUGACUGAGAGGUCGUCAGGAGCUUAGUGAGUGGAGGGCAGGGGACAAGUGUGUUCAUUCUCUCUCCCUCUCUCUCUGCUGUUCUGUAAGGUGACAAGUUAGGCUUACUGCCAGUGUGACCUUAAAUAAGCCAUGCAUGCUUUCUGAAUCCUUUUUUCUUAUUUGGUGAGUGACGUGCUAGUUAAAAUGGUGUCUCCAGCCCUUUCCCGUCCUCGCUGCUGUGAUUCAAGCCCCCUCCUUCUCUGUGGGGCUUCCUCCGACCUCUCGAUUUCACUGUCACCUUUCUCUCUUCCUCUCUCUCCUGCUUCCUCCCUGUCCACCCCCAUCUCUGUCCCCCCAGGGCCGAGUUUGUUUUAUAUCUCUUUUGGUAUCUCCUCUGGUUUUCUGGCACCAUGUCUUACGUAGAGCAAAUAAUAAUGCUUUAAAAAAUUCUCGAUAAAGGAAAAAGUUCAGUAAAGUGUGAAUUUCACAUUGUAGUCAGUGGUUAAAUGCCUCAAACACUUAAAAAGUAGAAUUUAUCUCAACCUGGGCAGAAGGCAGUCCAUGCCAAUUUCUAAAUGGAAUCCAAUAGCAAGAAUGCACAAAGAACAAGCAGGAGUGGUGAGGAUUUCCUCACUCUGUCCCUCAGAGGUGGCGCGUCUCAUCUGUGAGGUGAAAGUGUCAUCACGUCAUUGACAUAAAGUAUAAGUACAGGGAACAUAAUCAUCUGGGAGAUUUUAAUUUGAGUUAAUAAGAG